rnacentral:lncRNA from 1 species
AUUCUGUUCCAUUUGAAAUGAAAAUCAAGGCUAAUAUAAACAAAUUACAACGAAGUUAGUUUUUGAUAUAUAAAACCCAGCUUUUAGGAUAUGAUGCUAUUUUUGAUGAAAUAUUGUAAGAGAACAAAGCUGCAUUUGACUUGAUUCUCUUGAUGAUACACUCAGAGUUUAUAAAUCUGUGUUGCUCCUGUGUCUGCACAGACAGAAUCUGGAGAUGUUAAUUUUUGUCAUUUGGCUUCUAGAUGUCCUUGGCGUGUACACCCUGUGGAAUCUGGUUCAUCUCCAAUCUGUCAGAAGGCAUCAGAGGUGGUUUUGACUCCUUAUGUCUUGGACCUGUGUACAAAAAGUGUGAAAUGGAUGGAACAUCAGACACCUCAUUAUAGAGACAAGUGAGCUCCAAUUCCAAAGUUGGUUGACAGAACAAGUCAUGGUGAGUAUUGUAAUUUUAGUGCUACUGUACAUCUGCAAGCUGUCUGUGGGUAAAAUGCUU